CACACACAUACACACUCUCGCCAGCCUCUUCGCCUGUCCCGGCCGUGUUAUUCCUCCCGCCAUUGACGCCACGCGUCUUCAUCGUCUUCGUCGCUAUCAUCUCUCUACCUGACGAGGACUAGUGCAGUAAGCUCUGCAAAGGAAAAAAAAACGAGGGGCUUUUUUCGCUUGUUUUGCUGGCAACUCUGCAGGAGGUAUCCCCUUCCUCCUCCUCCCCCCACUCACCCACUCGCUUUCUGUGCUGAAGCGGUCGUGUUUGGUUGUUGGGGGGGCUGAGCGAUCUUUCUCUCGUUUUGUGCAUUGCCUCGCGCGCAUAGACACCACCCAUCGACGAAGGUGCGCCUUGCUCGUUUCCUUGGCUUCCUCACACACACACACACACACAAGUAGGCGCUAUUUUCGCUGACUUUGCGGAGGUAACGCGGUAAACAUAUCAGCCGGAACGAUACAUCUAGGAGAAGCGAAAGAAGAAUCUGGCUGACUCUCCAUCUAAUCGGCGUUUACACCAGCUCUAAGCGCCAUUGUCCCCCUUUUCGUGUUAAAGUAUUAUUUCGCGUUCCGUGCAUGCGUUCGCUACGUUCCUGGGCACUUGUUACGUUCCUUUGCUUGUUGCUGGCGUCUUUUGGCGCUCAGCAGCCAUGUUCAAGGAAAUUUCCUUCGAUGACGUAGAUGUCUCCUGCGCAUCGCAUGAGGAUGAUCGCUUGGUGGCCGAGAACGUAGCCGAUGCGGUAGAAGGCGGCAAGGCGUUUGUGAGGUUCCAUCGCCCAGGUGAGGAGGGCUUCAGCAUUGUGGCCGGCGCGUGCGACGACAAGGACGCACGCCAUGACGCUCACUUCAUGAGCGGCGACGCGUGGAUGUCAAAGGAUUGCCACUGCAUUCAGUGUGAGACGCUUCGUGUGCUCUCGCGGUACUCGGAGAUGCGUGCACAGCCGAAUAUAUCCCCCGUCAUCGUCCUCGUCGACCUUGAUAACUUUGGUUUCAAUCAGUUCAAGUCCAUCCCGCCGUACCCGGACGUUGAACUGCUCGAUCACGUGCUUGUGUGGAGCUUUUUCGGCUCGUGCUUCACACGCCAUCAUCGCGCGUGGCCGAGCGAGCAGACUGUCUGCGAGCCGCUGCCGAAUCGCGCCGUGUCCGUGAAUGCUGCCGGCACCACCAAGCGCUCCAUCUGGGAAAUCUUGGUGAGCAAGCAGCAGGUGUUCUUCACGCCGUGCGGCGGCCAAACGCAAGCAGCUGAUAAUGUCAUGCAUCGCGUGCUGCAGGCGCUUCAAGGUAUGGAGACAGUGCUCCUGACAGGGGACGUGAAGCUCAUUAACGAAAUCUACCGCAGCCGCCGGCUGCUCGGCAUGAAGUCGCGCCGGCACAACGAGGAUGAGAUGUCAGAUAAGCUGACGGUGAUAAACGUGGACGACAUGGACAAGCGUUUUGUGCCGGUGUGGCGGUCACUGUGCAAUCGUCUUCGCGGUACUUUGCAUGACGUCGGGGCGACCGGCAGCUGCAACGAUAGCGAUGUGUGACGGCUGUCGAGCGAAAAGGCCUGCUGCUUGACGGGCGCUCCGUUCUUCUUUCGUUUGUGUUUGUAUUCUUUUUUUUCUUGCAUGUGUUCGUAUGUGUGUGUGUGUGUGGUCAUUUUUCAGCAUGUGGCCUCGUGUGUCUUCGCACGCGAGGCCGCUUGCUGCCACUUUUAUCACACACACACACACAGGCACACAUACACACACACACACACACACACAGAGGCAUAAAUACGUCUGGCUCCUUUCCGCGCACUCGUAUAGUGGCUUGAUGCACGAAAUGACCCCAGUUUUUGCUCUCUGUCGCUCGUCUUCCUCACCUCCAUGCGGUUUUCUCGUUGACGUACGUGUGGCUCGGCACGUCCUACCUCCGAUCUCUUGCUGUCUCUCUGUGUCUCUUCUCCUCCGUUCCUUUGUUUUGGCUUUAUCUCUCGACUUCACCCUUUUCCCCGAGCUCCCUCUCCCUCUUUCCUGCUUUCACGUCGUCUCUCUCUCCCCGUUGCUCUCCCUUUUCUCUUUCUGUCCUCGCGACUCGUGUUUCUGGCUGUUUUCGAUUGUUCUCCUCUUUCUUUCUCGCGUUGGCCCGUUGGUGAGUUCGGCUUUUUCGGCCCGAGUCUUCGCACAUGAUAAGUGGUGUGCGGGUGUCUGUGUGGGGGUGGGGUGACCUCGCCCACGCCACCCCCUCCACCAAAAAACCAACUCGGAUCUCCCUUGUGUGCUCCGUUUCUCUUGCGUUGAUCUCAUCUGCUCACGUCGCCACCCCCUGCGCCUCACGUUUCUCCGUCCCUUUCUCCAUAAUGUGCAGACACAUCGUCAUCACAUCCCCACCCCUCUCACGCCCUUCUGACCCUCUUCUGUCACUCUCAGCUCUCUGACCAGCGCCCCGUCCCGAUGGCCAAGAUGUACAGUGGCGGCGCCGUUUCGUGGACCGCGAGUGCGGACGACGAGCCCUCGCGCUCUCUCGCUUCUUACCUGCCCCUCCCCCCUCCUUUCGUUCGCCCGCCAGCGAGUGCACCGCUCCAUUCGGGGGAAGCACAGAUGUGAAAGCGUCCUUCCUUUGCUUGCUCUGUUUCGCUGUCGUGGUGGCUUUUGAUCGGGCCACCGCGGUGCGGCGCUAUCGAGGGAUGAGGACGAGUGAUAUUUCUUGUUUUGUGUGUGUGUGCUCGGUUCCCGUGUUCAGUGAAAGCGAUCGCUUCAACUGUCAGCUGUAUCUGUAGUUUCAUGUUUGCUCGAGAAGGAUUCGCAACGGCCUUAUGGUUUUCUCGCGUUGCUUUCACUGUCCGUGCCUUGAGAGUAAGCCCCCCCCCACCCCACGCUAUCCACCCCCCUGCAUGUUUCCACCAGGUGUGUUGAGGAAGCUGUAAGGGCAGGCGGCUCUGCACUCUCUUCUGUACACAGACACAACAUAGACGCGUGUGCAUGCUAUUGAAUAAAGGACGCACUCUGUGCCUGCGCGUACGGCCCUCCGUGUUACACACCCUCUUUCUUCUUUCUUCCAUCUCGGCCCCCCGGUCGGCCUCUGCGUCUUUCUCACGUUGAUAAACGGAGAAGUAUUCACACUUGAUGCAGAAGAUGUGAAAGAUACGCGGGAGGCCGAGGAUAGGGCGACGCAUGAAAGGAGCGACACACGCUUGCGCCAGCGAGACGAAGUGGGCACGUAAAAACGGGAUGGGGGGAAAAAGAAAGACGGCAGCGCUUUUUGUAUUUUUUUUUCUGUUUUGCUUUCGUGUGCGUGUGUGUGUCUUGUUUUGAAUCCGAAUGAAUUCAAUGCUGCAAGCGUAAAGUGAAAAGUGGAAAAUGGGAACGGGGGUCGGCUCUGCCUCAGCGCCUUCCGUGCCUCUGAUUCCUCGCCUCCACAGGCGAGCACCCACCCACCCAGCCUUGCCUCUCUUUAUCUCCCCCCACAAGCACAGCGAGGCAGAGCGACAUGUACGCACACGUGUAAUUGGGGAAGGCGGUGCUUCAUGCUGGCAAAGACAAAAAAAACGAAGGACAGGAGCUCUUACGUGAAGAUGUCGAGAAAGGUCUACCUAAUACGUAUUUCGUGGAUUUAGAGUAUAAUAAAUACCCAAAAGAAAAACGGAAUGCGUGAAGCAUUCCAUCGAGGCUACCCGGCUCUACCGCGGUUGAUUGAGCAAGCUGGACCAUCGCCUUCUGCUAUAUUUGUCUUUAUCCCCUUUUGCCUUUCCUCUGCGCUCGCUGCUGAUGAAUCGGUAAAG
rnacentral:misc_RNA from 1 species